rnacentral:rRNA from 1 species
GACGAACGCUGGCGGCGUGCUUAACACAUGCAAGUCGAACGAAGUGGCGAACGGGUGAGUAAUGCGUAAUCAACCUGCCCUUCAGAGGGGAACAACAGUUGGAAACGACUGCUAAUACCGCAUACUGAAGGUGGGGAUUGCGUCGGAUUAGCUAGUUGGAGGGGUAACGGCCCACCAAGGCGAUGAUCAGUAGCCGGUCUGGGAGGGUGAACGGCCAAAUUGGGACUGAGACACGGCCCAGACUCCUACGGGAGGCAGCAGUGGGGAAUCUUCCGCAAUGGACGAAAGUCUGACGAAGCAACGCCGCGUGAGUGAUGACGGCCUUCGGGUUGUAAAGCUCUGUUAAUCGGGACGCGGUACCGGAAGAGAAAGCCACGGCUAACUACGUGCCAGCAGCCGCGGUAAUUC